UACGUAGGGUGCAAGCGUUGUCCGGAAUUAUUGGGCGUAAAGAGCUCGUAGGCGGUCUGUUGCGUCGGCUGUGAAAACCCGGGGCUCAACCCCGGGCCUGCAGCCGAUACGGGCAGACUAGAGUUCGGCAGGGGAGACUGGAAUUCUCGGUGUAGCGGUGAAAUGCGUAGAUAUCGAGAGGAACACCUGCGGCGAAGGCGGGUUGCUGGGCUGACACUGACGCUGAAGCGCGAAAGCUAGGGGAGCGAACAGG
rnacentral:rRNA from 1 species